AAAUAAGUUUACAUACAUGACAGUGUUUGGCCCAGAGCAGGCACUCAGUGCACGUAAAGAGAUGGACUUCAGUGGAUCAAGCACUCAGGACUCCAAAGAGAGGUAUGGGGUGACGAGGAGGUCAAGCAGAAGGCAGAGCAGAUGAGAGACUGCUCUAAUCCA